CUGCUUCUUGGUGCUAUUCUUGAGAAAGAACAUCCCAGUCCUGCAGGGACAGGGAAAGCUUGCAGGUUCACUUCAAGGCUUAAUACCACACCAAAGCCUUGUGUGCACUCCUGUGUUCAGGGCUGUUCUUGAGGCAAGCGGGAACUGAAGAUUAAUUACAGUGAAAUUGAGAGCUAGGAGACAAAGCCACGUUCUUCCAGCUGUUUCCAGAGUUGCUGUGGGUCUCUGUUAACAGAGCUGCCACCUUUGUUCCCCUGCAAGAACAGAGGUGAAGACUUUGGACUAAAGAAUCCUUAACCUAUUUCUUUUUGAGUACAUGAGAUACGCUGUGAAUCUGGAAAUCUGGAGACAGCUUUGUAUCUGGAGAAACUCACAGCAAGGCCAUGAGAAGAACCCUUGACAAAUGGGGCUUUAACACUGAGCCUGCAGGACAUCCCAGGAGCUGCACUGCAUCAGCAUGAAGUAUGCUGCAGGAUGAGAAAUCUUUCUGAAAGGCUGCUGACUGCCUAGGAAAAAUGAAUCUGUGUAUUGCUUUUUUUUUUUUUUUUUUUUUAAGGACUUCUACUUUAAUUGUCCUAGUCAUAGAGGAAGUUCUGCUAAAAAUGAAAUACUGAUUGAGGAAACUCAUCACUCUCAUACUGUGAGACCUAGUUUUCUCUCACAUGCUUUCAGUCAGAUUUAGAAGCACCUUUGGCUUACAAAAAAAAAAUUCUGCUGCUCCAUACCAGAACAGUGGCAGAUGGUCUUUGUUUAUCAAUGAAUCUUUUGUGUGCAAUAGUUGAGGGAUUUGCUUCCAGGGAAGAUAUGUCCCAAGACCUGUUCUUCUCAGAGACAGUGGCAGUGGCAGUCAGCCAUUUGCGUCCAUGGUUUUGCAAAAAGAUUUCUUGCCAAUCUGAUUCUUUUACCUUUCCUUUCCCCAAAGCUGUUUCAAUGUAGAAAAUUUUAAGAGAGGAAUUGCCAAAGUCAAAGAGAAGGCAAGGCUUGUGGGAUUUUAGGGGGCUGUGCUUACUUGUCCUUUCUUAACGGCAUUAAACUGUUGUUCUAAACAAAGAACAGGUACAGGAUUUGGAGCCAAAAUAUUCCAGUCGUGGUUGUACAUGAUUCUCCCCUGCUUCAGCUUCCCCCAGUCACUAAAGUUAACAGGGGAAGGGGGAACAGGAUCAAACAGCAAACAGUGCUGUUGGCAUGGAGUACAAAGAAAGAAAUGAAGCAUCCGAGUGGUUCACUCCAGGUUUUACCAUGCUCUGAUUUACCCUUUCUCCACUGCUCGCCCUAAGGCUUUGUGCCCCAGAUGCUGAGUACUGAAUACAUAAGCAACAACUCGUGCACUGAGGUGCUAUCUGAACACCAGCUGCUCUGCCCUGGCUUAUUUCUUGGAAUUUGCCCCAAUUUCUUCAUUAUCUCCUGCUGCUGCUGCAGGAGCAGAGGGGUGAGGGAUAGUGAAGGUAAGAGGAAGAACACGUGAAUGCCAGAGGAAAGCAGCAUGACCCAACACCACUGUUAGGAAAAAGAUCCUUUGCUCUAGAAGCUUGCCCACUGCCUGGAAUGCAUCUGGUAGGAUCUGUGGAUUAGCCCUGUUUCCCUGCUCAUACUGAGCACACACCCCAUGGCCCUGUGCAUCCAGGCAGGACACAGAGAUCCAUCAGCAUCCUUAAAGCACAGACUGCCUUGGGCUAACCAAUAAUGUUGUGUUUCUCCAACAUGCUCAGAAAUCACUUGCAAACACCCCUUUGUUCCACAUACUUCCAUACUUGUGCUGAAGCUGCAAAACUGACAGCACUCUGAGCCACAAAGGAGACAAGAGGAGACUGUGAUGCCGAGCAAGAGCCAGGAAAAUAACUUCUGCCACGCUGUUGGCUCUACAACAAACUUUAAUACUCUGGAAUUACACACUUCUACCCACAGCUGCUUACAGGUACCUUGGGGAAAGCUUUAAAGCAGAAGAGUUGCUAUAAAUCCCUUUUGUCCUCCUAGCUUGAUACUCCCCCCAAGUAUUUUUCACCUCUGUCCACAGAACAGGGAUUUACACAUAACACAGAAGUUACUCAGGAAUUCAGAUGUGUGCAAGAGAAGUCAUGCAACUGUGAUUAUUGUUCAGCAGGGGUUUUACCUUGUCCUCAAAGAAGGAAGGCCAGUACAGGACAGACACCAUCCCCUGUACCUCAUGGAGCAGUGGGGAAAAUACCCAUUUUUUGAGUGCCCAAAUCAAAACCCUGGAGAGUUUAUCUGGUGGAAAGAGUCAGCAAAAUAAACAGAUUUCCUUUCAGUUGCCACAGAAGAGUGCAGAAGUAUCCAGCAUUCAUCCUUUUUCCAGAAUUUAUCAUUUCUCCCCAAGUCCUGUGCCCUGUAUUUACAAGUUCCCAAAUCUCCUGACAGCCAGAUCUGUGCCCGUGCCUUGAGGCAGAAGUGGGAGAGGAGUUAUUCCAAAUUACAGAGAAAUUUCAACACCCUGGAGAUGCUGCCAAGCUUUUCCAUGUCUCACAGGCGCAGGAUGGAGCCAGGAGUUUCUGAGCUCCACGCAGUGUAUUCCUCAAAGGUUUGGAAAAUAGAUCUGAAAGGUGCCACACCACACAUUGCCACCACUUUUGUUGGGAUACUCACAGAGCUGCAGUUUAUAAGUUCAGCCAAGUGACGAUGAGGGGCAUGCUGAGGAUGGAAAUGUUGGGAACGCGGGUCCAGGCAGAGCUUUGGGCCAUGCUGGGGCUGCAGAGGUGGAACAAGCUGCCUUGAAAUUUGUUUUUUUGGGACUCCCUUCUCAGCAUCUCCCAGACAGCUGCUGCUUCCUUCUGGCAUUCCCAGAGCACUGUCAGGGUACAAGUGUGGAAUUCAUCCCAAUACCUGCAGCCAGGGAGACACCACACUGUCAGCCCCUUUGCACUCCCAGAGUGCAGGAUGCCAGGCAGAGCCUUGCUGCCCUGAGCCUGCCCUCUGAGCAGCAGCAACCCUUGUGUUUUGUGCAAGUUUCCCAGACUAUUCAUCCCCUCCAUCAUCUGCCAGAGCGUCUUGGCUAAAACUCCAAAUCUCAAAACACUGAAAUUAUUUAUUCCUUUUUUCUCCCCUCCCCGCUUUUCUCUGGAAGUCAAUAAAAUCCAUUAUUUUCCAUCAACAAA